UUAAUUUGAGAGUUUGAUCCUGGCUCAGGACGAACGCUGGCGGCGUGCCUAAUACAUGCAAGUCGA
rnacentral:rRNA from 1 species